GGACUACCCGGGUUUCUAAUCCUGUUUGCUCCCCACGCUUUCGCGCCUCAGCGUCAGUAUCGGGCCAGUGAGUCGCCUUCGCCACUGGUGUUCCGCCGAAUAUCUACGAAUUUCACCUCUACACUCGGCAUUCCACUCACCUCUCCCGAACUCAAGAUAUCCAGUAUCGAAGGCAAUUCCGAGGUUGAGCCCCGGGCUUUCACCCCCGACUUAAAUAUCCGCCUACGCGCCCUUUACGCCCAGUAAUUCCGAGCAACGCUAGCCCCCUUCGUAUUACCGCGGCGGCUGGCAC
rnacentral:rRNA from 1 species